UCAUGUUAAGACUGUGAAAGUACUAUUUACUCUACAAUGGUGAGGAGUCCUCAUCAAAAUCAAAAAAUCUCAUUUCUUUUACAGGACCCAGAUGCUAUACAGUGGGAAAACCAGCCUGGCAACAUAGUGCGUAUUAAUAAAAGGACACCACAUCCUGCCAAAUUCCAGCUGCGCUAAUUGUAUUGUGUUCACAGAGCUCACAAGCUAUCAGAAAGUUGUAUGGCAACCACCUCCGGCGCCAAAUAGAACUGUCAGACAUAGAUAUUCAGUACAAGAAGAAAAAGAUGGAAAAUCUUGCACUGGAGUCCGAAAUAAAAAAGAGGACAAUUAGGAAACUGGACCUUGAAAUAAAAAAACUUGAGGGAGCUCCAAGAAGAUGACACAGCUCAAAAUAAAAAUUAGCAAUCAGUACAACCAAGUCAUCGUUAUAAGGCAUCGCCCUCUUUUGCGCACCCCCCCAGCACCAGGUGUGGCCACUAGCCUAUAUGAAGGCCCAAAAUUGUGUGUUCCUUUCUGCUCUGACAAUGGCAUGCCCAUUCGUGCGAGAUGUGGUGGAUGAAGAAGCACUUGUGCUGAGGAGAGCCUUCAGGCGAGAAAGGGUCUUCAGGGACCGGUUGGACCCACUGGCCUUCCCUGAUAACCUGUAUCUUUCAUAUAGAUGGUCUUCUGCAGAUGGCAUCAGGUAUCUAUGCAGACUACUGGGUCCCGUGAUUAAGCACCGCACUGCACGGAGCCAUGCACUGAGUGUGGAGCAAAUGGUUUGUGUGGCCUUGCGCUUUUUUGCUAGUGGAGCCUUCCUGUACUCAGUGGGGGAUGCAGAACAGCUGAACAAGGCCACAAUUUGCCGCACAAUAAGGAGUGUGUGUCUGGCUAUCUAAGCAUUAGCAGAUGUCUUCAUCUCCUUCCCUGGCCACAGAAGACUCUGUGACAUCAAAGAGGAGUUCUAUAGGAUU